GAGACGGAAUCUCGCUCGGUCGCCAGGCUGGAGUGCAGUGGCGCAAUAUCAGCUCACUGCAACCUCCGCCUCCCGGGUUCAAGAGAUUAUCCUGCCUCAGCCUCCUGAGUAGCUGAGCCUACAGGCAUGCGCCACCACACCCAGCUAAUUUUUGUAUUUUUAGUAAAGAAGGCGUUUCACGAUGUUGGCCAGGAUGGUCUCAAACUCUUGACCUCGUGAUCUGCCCACUUCGACCUUUCAAAGUGCUGGGAUUUACAGGCGUGUGCUACUGUGCCUGGCCACAUCAGGAUUUCUUAGGGUCCCCCUAGAUGAUUCUAAUGUGCAUCCAAGCUGGAAACUACUGGCUUAGAAGCAGAAGUCAAGAGGCCUCAGCUGUUUGCAGAGGAAACCUAUGGUCGCUUGUAUAUUUCAAUGGGAUAGGAAAAAUACUAGAAGACUCAUGGGCUUGCAUUUUUUUUUUCUUGAACAAGUGGACCAUAGCCGACUCUUUGUUUUUCCAGUUUAACCUUAGAAAAUAUGCCCAAAGUCAACAGGUAUACAAUUAACCUU
rnacentral:lncRNA from 10 species